GACGAACGCUGGCGGCGUGCUUAACACAUGCAAGUCGAACGGAAAGGCCCUGCUUUUGUGGGGUGCUCGAGUGGCGAACGGGUGAGUAACACGUGAGUAACCUGCCCUUGACUUUGGGAUAACUUCAGGAAACUGGGGCUAAUACCGGAUAGGAGCUCCUGCUGCAUGGUGGGGGUUGGAAAGUUUCGGCGGUUGGGGAUGGACUCGCGGCUUAUCAGCUUGUUGGUGGGGUAGUGGCUUACCAAGGCUUUGACGGGUAGCCGGCCUGAGAGGGUGACCGGCCACAUUGGGACUGAGAUACGGCCCAGACUCCUACGUGAGGCAGCAGUGGGGAAUAUUGCACAAUGGGCGGAAGCCUGAUGCAGCAACGCCGCGUGCGUGAUGCCGGCCUUCGGGUUGUAAACCGCUUUCGCCUGUGACGAAGCGUGAGUGACGGUAAUGGGUAAAGAAGCACCGGCUAACUACGUG
rnacentral:rRNA from 1 species